rnacentral:rRNA from 1 species
UACGGGGGGAGCAAGCGUUGUUCGGAUUUACUGGGCGUAAAGGGCGCGUAGGCGGUCAGCACAAGUCAGUUGUGAAAUCUCCGGGCUUAACUCGGAAAGGUCAACUGAUACUGUGCGACUAGAGUGCAGAAGGGGCAACUGGAAUUCUCGGUGUAGCGGUGAAAUGCGUAGAUAUCGAGAGGAACACCGGUGGCGAAGGCGGCGACCUGGGUCGAGACUGACGCUGAGGCGCGAAAGCGUGGGGAGCAAACAGG